rnacentral:siRNA from 1 species
GCUGCCCCUCAUAAGAUCUUCUU